rnacentral:rRNA from 1 species
UACAGAGGUCCCAAGCGUUGUUCGGAUUCAUUGGGCGUAAAGGGUGCGUAGGCGGCGCGGUAAGUCGGGUGUGAAAUCUCAGAGCUUAACUCCGAAACUGCAUUCGAUACUGCCGUGCUUGAGGACUGGAGAGGAGACUGGAAUUUACGGUGUAGCGGUGAAAUGCGUAGAUAUCGUAAGGAAGACCAGUGGCGAAGGCGGGUCUCUGGACAGUUCCUGACGCUGAGGCACGAAGGCCAGGGGAGCAAACGGA